AUGGGCAACUCCAAACCCUUGGGUGACCAGGGACCCCCAGGCACCACCAGCUGUGCUCCCAGAGCCCCUCAGCAGCCAGAUCUGUCAUUUCUGAGCAGCAGCUUGGCCACGGGGCCAAGGCUAUGGCGAGGCCUCGCUCUGCUGCCUGUGAUCUGCAGAGCCGCCAUCCCCACACCCGCUGACGGGAAGCGGAGGCCCACACACAACUCCUGCUUCCUCGUCAAGCCCUGCCGCGUCCCCAGCUCCGGCCUUGGCUGCCACCAUGCCAGGGAAUGGCGGCAAUGGCUGGGAGAUGGGUGGGAUGGGGGACCACGGUUCCCCCCUCAGACACGUACUCACCGUGAGGCGGCUGCACGGCUGCUACGCGUGGGGCCGGCGAGUGGGAGAGCCUCGCUCGGCCACCGGCCAGGAGCUGCGACCCGAGGAGCCUCCGUGGAGUGUGGGUACCGCUGCCCUGUCCACGUGACGACAGCUUUGAGAAGGGGUGGCUGCCUCAAGCCCCACACCCAAAGCGAAGGCUGUGCUCUGCUCCGGCCAGGCGGCUGCUGGUAACCAGGCUGAAGAGAGGAGAAAAACUAAUGAAAACAGAACUCGGGAAGAAGCGCCAGGCCUGGAGUGGCUUCCGCCCCGAUCCCCAGCAAUUAUCAGCCACAUGCCAGAUGUUCCGAUGCGAUGCCAAUGUCAGAGAAAAUAAAUCUGUGUCGGGUUCAAGGUCCCUGCCGGGC
rnacentral:lncRNA from 1 species